rnacentral:lncRNA from 1 species
UUUCCCCUUAAACAUAAACAAACACCAUUCCCAUCUUUUCCUCCUAUUCAUCACUGCAUCCUUGGCAAGAACUUUUUCCCCUUUUUACUCUUUGUUGGCAAGCUUUCAAGGGUAGUCAAAGCCAAGGCUGAAAAAAAUUAUGACCAACCCACUCACGACUGCUGUGGCAAAACUGCUGCAUUGUAAUUGCAUGGGGAGACAAAGGCUGGGGGCUUUUAUAUGUUUCAAUGGUCAUUUAAAGCUACUAACCUUGAAGGCAAUGACAUCCACUGACCCUAAAAGGUUGAGUCAGGUACUCAAAGGUCAACAGAGGAACAUGAUGUCCAAGAGCUGGGUACAAGACACAAGGCUGGAAGUUCAGAAGUUUAUCAGGAAAGACAUUGCAUUGGGAACUGACUCCUAAAUGUAUUUGUGCAUUAUAUUAACCAGUCAUUCAGUAAAAUAUUGAAAUAGUCAUUUCAGAUAAGGACUCCAGAAGAAAUCUCUCUCUCAGGAGCUGGAUUUCAGGAGAAGGCUAAGGACAGUGAUCCCUCACCAAGAAAAUGAAAGCCUCUCUCCAGGGGUAUGAGAGGUGCUGCUGUAGCUCCAAAAAGGGUUUAAAUGUAAGAUAGCAGCAUGUUCAGUACUGCCUACAGAGUAGCAUAGAGCUGUCUGCUAAUCUCUGGCAAUAUCUCAGCAUUUGUCAGAGUCAUGAUUUAUUGAGCAGUGAGAGUGUUCCUCACCUUGCAAGAUCAGGUCCCUAGAUUGUAACACAUUUUCUUGUUCACCAAAAAGGCUCAUCCACAACAAAGAAAUUAAAGAAACAGAGAGAAUUAUUCAGUGACACCAGAAACAAUGAAGGAAAAACUAUGUGUAAGCCUUGGCAAAACAUCUCUAAACAGCACUUUGAGCUUGCAGCACAGCCCAGCCGUAUUUCAGAGCCAAAGAGAAGAUUUUUUUUUUGUACUAAUGUGCAUCAGGCUGAGACUGGGACCCAGAAAUUGCUGCAAAUACUCAGCUCCUGAAGGCUGUAUAAACCCAGUGGGAUCCUGCUGUGCUUGAGAGGAGAGAGGGCUGAAAUCUAAGUAAUGGCCAAAGUCCAGAUUUUGAAAGAAAAAGGAUUAAUGAAGCCUGCUAUAGUAGUGUACCUGGGAUAACAUCAUAAUUAGAGAUUAAUAACAACCACUUCAUAAAGUCUGACACUUUUCUGUUCCUUAGUACCAUUGCUGUAUCGAGUGAGUUUUUGAUGCCUUAGAAUAAAAGUGUAUGUCAGAGUGAACUAGAACA